ensembl:lncRNA
GACAUAUUGACAGUUUGACUGGAAGGUUCUGAGACAUAUUGACAGUUGAAGGUUCUGAGACAUAUUGAAAGUUUGACUGGAAGGUUCUGAGACAUAUUGACAGUUGAAGGUUCUGAGACAUAUUGACAGUUUGACUGGAAGGCUCUGAGACAUAUUGACAGUUUGACUAGAAGGCUCUGAGACAUAUUGACAGUUUGACUGGAAGGUUCUGAGACAUAUUGACAGUUUGACUGGAAGGUUCUGAGACAUAUUGACAGUUUGACUAGAAUGUUCUGAGACAUAUUGACAGUUUGACUGGAAGGUUCUGAGACAUAUUGACAGUUUGACUGGAAGGUUCUGAGACAUAUUGACAGUUUGACUAGAAGGCUCUGAGACAUAUUGACAGUUGAAGGUUCUGAGACAUAUUGACAGUUUGACUGGAAGGCUCUGAGACAUAUUGACAGUUUGACUAGAAGGCUCUGAGACAUAUUGACAGUUUGACUAGAAGGCUCUGAGACAUAUUGACAGUUUGACUAGAA